rnacentral:misc_RNA from 1 species
UACGUAGGGGGCGAGCGUUGUCCGGAAUGACUGGGCGUAAAGGGCGUUUAGGCGGCCUGUUAAGUUAGGAGUGAAAGUCCCGCUUUCAAGGUGGGAAUUGCUUUUAAUACUGAUGGGCUUGAGUGCAGAAGAGGUAAGUGGAAUUCCCAGUGUAGCGGUGAAAUGCGUAGAGAUUGGGAGGAACACCAGUGGCGAAGGCGACUUACUGGGCUGUAACUGACGCUGAGGCGCGAAAGCGUGGGGAGCGAACAGG